AACCGAGAAGAUGGGUACAAACUGCGUUAUUAACCAGGAAGCGUCUGCCACUGGAGCAACUCAUUGUCUUUGAAAUAGGGAGCACACUCGGAUCAUUAAUCAGUUACAAGGCAAACCACUUAAAAGUUACAUUUAGGAGAAACAUUCUUUACAACACGAAUUAAAAUUUAGUGUUACGUGUUGACGUACAUUUUGUCUAACUAGGAGUAGAAAUGCUCCUUGCUGAUUAACGUCUGGAUGUUCGUAACUAUCGGUUGAAGCAGCCCGGCUGCUGUUGAGACGCUGUGCACCAAUAAGGGUCCACAGGUGGCUUGCACAGAAUCAAUGAUGCACUCCCAGAAGGCUGUGCUAGUUAUAGUUUGUGUAAAACAUUCCUUUGUUUCGUGGAGAGAUCGAUAAAUGAAAGAUGUCGUGUCUGCUGAUCUGCUUCAUAGCGAGGAAGUAAUUUUAAGAGCACAUUUGAAAUGCAUUUUUGGUACAGAUUUGUAUUCGGUUACAAGGCAGAGCACAUCUAGUAGAUACGUUCUCCACAACAACACUAAUAAUUUUGCAUGACGUCUUAUAUGUUGGCGAACUAGGAAAAGAAAUGGCCCUUGCCGAUUAACGUCUGGAUGUUCACAACCAUGGGUUGAAGCAAGCCUGACCGCCUGCGGCGCCCCUCAUAACCAUUUUCGGCCUUGGGCCAGGAAAGUCACGAAAAAAGUUGCACACGAACGACGCAAGCACCCGAUGGUCCGUUUUGAAGUUUUAAAAUGAAACAACUUUGAAUUGUAUUAUGUUUUUAAUUAGAUAAUUGUAUUUGUUCAUUAAAAGUUUCUAUAAUUUUACAUCUGAAAGACUUCAUUGAAAA